GCCACCACCCUUCUAGAUUUCUACAAACAAUUAUUUCGAAUCUCUCCCAUUAAACUAAGCAAUCAGCCCCAUCACCAUCUUCUAGUAGUAUAUAACAAUCGUACACCCGGUAUUUCGAAGAAAAGUCAUCGCCAUUCGCCAGCCUUUUUCCGUCUGGUUUUAAACAUGGCAUCUUUUGUGGGCAUAUAUGACUAAAACCCUAGAGGUUUAUUUCUGUCAAAAAAAAAACAAGCACAUAUGGGUAUUCCUAAGCAGCAGCUGCUUAUUCUGCUGUUCCUUAUAACGCUUGUUUCAUCUUACCAGAAACCCAGAGUUGCAGAAGCAAGGGGGCUUUCUUUAAUGCCUCAACAAGCAGGAUCUUCAAGCUUUUUCUCAACGCUGGGGCUUGUUUGCAAGUGUUGUGAUGGAGAUAAAGGCGAGUGCACAAGUACAUGGACAAAGUCUUGCUCUAAGCUCCAAUGUUUUCCCUGGAAACUAGACAAGGUUCUGUAAUUUUUGUUUUUUCCUGGUGUACAUACUAAAUAGUUUUAGUAAUUGGUAUAAAAUUAGUGGGUUAUUUCAACUAA